rnacentral:rRNA from 1 species
GAUGAACGCUGGCGGCGUGCCUAAUACAUGCAAGUCGAGCGAAUGGAUUGAGAGCUUGCUCUUAUGAAGUUAGCGGCGGACGGGUGAGUAACACGUGGGUAACCUGCCCAUAAGACUGGGAUAACUCCGGGAAACCGGGGCUAAUACCGGAUAACAUUUUGAACCGCAUGGUUCGAAAUUGAAAGGCGGCUUCGGCUGUCACUUAUGGAUGGACCCGCGUCGCAUUAGCUAGUUGGUGAGGUAACGGCUCACCAAGGCAACGAUGCGUAGCCGACCUGAGAGGGUGAUCGGCCACACGGGGACUGAGACACGGCCCAGACUCCUACGGGAGGCAGCAGUAGGGGAUCUUCCGCAAUGGACGAAAGUCUGACGGAGCAACGCCGCGUGAGUGAUGAAGGCUUUCGGGUCGUAAAACUCUGUUGUUAGGGAAGAGCAAGUGCUAGUUGAAUAAGCUGGCACCUUGACGGUACCUAACCAGAAAGCCACGGCUAACUACGUGCCAGCCGCCGCAGUAA